GGUAGUGGGUUGUUGGUGGUAGUGGAUUAGUGGAUGGUUGUUGGUGUCCAUUUUCAACCACAAAUCUUUGCCAAAGUUUUGGACAAUUAUGUCCUUGAACUCUCUUAUAAAUAGAGAGGUUCAUUAGCCAUAUUGAUCAUCCCAAAACCAAGAGAGAGCAAAGCUUGUUCUUUGAAAGCUAGGAUUUUAGCUUUCGGGUUUUCUAUAGGGGUUGAGAGUUGUGAGGUUCUCGGGUUGUGUCUUGAGUGUAAAACACUUGUAAUCUUCAUCUUGUUAUAGUGAAAUUUCUUUUCGCCUCUGCCCGUGGACGUAGGCAUUAAAGCCGAACCACGUAAAUCCUUGUGUUCACUUUAUUUUUCGUUUCGGUCAAUUUACUUGUAGUCAUAUCGGAGUUCUCGAAUCGAUCCUUUCCGCAACAAAUUGGUAUCAGAGCGUAGUUGAAGGAGUGAUAAUAUUUUCUGAAUUGCCCUGUGACUGCAGCUUUGUCUGAUCUUUCACAUCAGGAAGAAAAUAUUAUCAUUCAUUCAAAGGUUCCAAAUUAUGGCUACAAGUGUUUCAUCGACUAAGUAUGAUGUCGAGAAAUUUACCGGGAAAAAUAGUUUCAGUUUAUGGCGCAUCAAGAUGCGGGCAGUGCUGGUUCAACAAGGAUUGCUAAAAGCAUUGUCUGGUAAAGAUAAAUUACCAAGCACGCUUUCGGAAGAGCAAAAGGAUGACAUGCUAGAAAGAGCACAUAGUGCUAUUCUGCUAUGUCUAGGAGAUGAAGUGCUACGAGAAGUAGCGGAUGAGAAAACCGCGUCCGGUUUGUGGCUCCGGUUAGAAAGCAAGUACAUGACGAAGUCAUUGACGAACCGGCUCUACCUCAAGCAAAGACUCUAUGCCCUGAAGAUGGAGGAAGGUACACCUGUUUCCCAGCACCUGGAUAAAUUCAAUUCCAUUAUCAUGGAUUUGAAUAAUAUCGAUAACAAAAUCGAUGAUGAGGACCAAGCAAUAAUUGUUUUGUGUUCUUUGCCUCCCUCGUAUGAGAAUUUUGUUGAUACAAUGAUGUACGGUCGUGAUGACCUGACUCUAGAGGAGGUGAAAAAUGCCUUAAGUUCCAGUGAGUUGAGGAAGAAAAUCACUGGUAAGGUGGUCGAAAACAAUGAAGGCGAAGGCUUGGUUGCUCGAGGAAGAUCCAAGGCAAAGGGUGGAAGUUCAAGUAAAAGCCAUCCUAGAUCGCAGUCCAAGAAGAGAAUACAGUGCUACUACUGUAAGAAGUACGGGCACAUGAAGGUAGAUUGUCCGAAAAGGAAGGAGAAAUCAGAAUCACAGGAGCAACAAAAUGAUCGUGCGAAUGUAGCUGAUGCAGAUUCUUCAAGAGAUGCCGAGAUCGUUCUUGCAGUAUCCGACUCUUACGCUGGUGGGAGAUGGAUUCUUGAUACGGGAGCUACAUUUCAUAUAAGUACUUCGAAAGAUGCAUUCUCAACAUACGAGAAGCAUUCUGGUUCAGUACUAAUGGGAAAUGACCACGCAUGUCAAGUCAUGGGGAUUGGCACAGUUCGUAUAAAGAUGUUUGACGGUAUUGUUAGAACUCUAACUGAUGUUCGGCACAUUCCAGAAAUGAAGAAAAAUUUGAUCUCUUUGAGUACGUUGGACAAGAAAGGCUUUCGGUACUCUGCUGAAGGUGGAGUUCUCAAGGUAUUCUCGGGUGCUUUGACUGUGAUACGUGGUAAUUUGGAGCGGGGCCUUUACUUCCUCGAUGGUUCCUCGGUUACAGGUGUUGCGGGAGUGUCAUCAUCAGAUGAUCUAGAUUCUGACACCACGAAGUUAUGGCAUAUGCGGCUCGGGCAUAUGAGCGAGAGAGGCUUAUCGGUGCUAAGCAAACGAGGAUUAUUGUCUGGGCAGUGUACAGGAAAGUUGAAUUUCUGUGAGCACUGCGUCUUCGGUAAGCAGACUCGGGUAAAGUUUAGCACUGGGAUUCACAAGACAAAAGGCACAGUGGAUUACUUCCAUUCUGACCUUUGGGGGCCUUCUCCGACAAUUUCUAAAGGUGGUUACAGAUAUCUGCUUACCUUUAUCGAUGAUUACUCGAGAAAGGUUUGGGUGUAUUUUCUGAAGAGCAAGUAUGAGGUUCUCAUCAACUUCAAGCAAUUUAAAGCUUUGAUCGAAAAUCAAACAGGAAAGAAGAUCAAGCGAUUCCGGACGGAUAAUGGCUUGGAGUUUUGCUCAGGUGAAUUCAAUGAGUUCUGCAAGAAUGAAGGAAUAGUGAGACACCGCACUGUUCGUCGAACACCACAACAAAAUGGAGUUGCAGAACGCAUGAAUAGAACUCUCUUGGAGCGAGCUCGUUGCAUGCGAUCAAAUGCUGGGCUCGGUGAAGAAUUUUGGGCUGAAGCUGUUAAUACUGCUUGUUAUUUGGUUAACAGAUCUCCGUCAACAGCUAUUGAGCUGAAGACUCCUGAGGAAGUAUGGUCUGGUUCUCCUGCUGAUUACUCUGGUUUAAGAGUGUUUGGCUGCCCUGCGUAUGCUCAUGUAAAUGAGGGAAAACUCAAACCGAGGGCGAAGAAAUGCAUAUUUCUUGGAUACGGCCAAGGGGUGAAAGGAUACAGGUUGUGGUGUCCUGAUCCGGUUUCGUCCAAGUUCAUCAUCAGCAGAGAUGUGACUUUUGAUGAGUCAUCCAUGCUUCGAUCCACCACAAAUUCCCGGGAAAAGGAGGAGUCAGAUAGAAUGGGAGAUCACGGUGUUGAGAAGCAGGUGGAGUGUCAGGUGGACGCUCCAAUUCCUACGGAAGGUACUUCAGUCCAGGAUGAUCAAGUUGAGGUGCAAGAUUCCGAUGAAGAUGAGUCACCUCAAGAAAAACCAUAUAGCAUUGCCACUGGAAGAACGAAGAGACAAAUCAAACCAAAUCCGCGUUACGCUAAUCUGGUGUCUUUCGCGCUCAGUGUGGCGGAGUCCAUUGGUAUAGAACCUUCCAGUUAUAAUGAGGCUGUCACGUGUGAUGAGUCGGCACAGUGGGCAAUUGCUAUGAGUGAGGAGAUAGAAUCUCUUCACAAGAACCAUACUUGGGAGUUGGUUAAGCCGCCAAGUAACCAGAAGAUAGUUGGUUGCAAAUGGGUCUUCAAGAAAAAGGAAGGCAUCCUAGGGGUUGAAGCAACUAGAUUCAAGGCACGAUUGGUUGCUAAAGGCUUCACUCAGAAAGAGGGGAUUGACUACAAUGAAGUUUUCUCCCCAGUCGUAAAGCAUUCUUCCAUUCGUAUAUUACUUGCCAUGGUGGCCAAGUCUGAUCUAGAACUUGAGCAGCUUGACGUAAAAACGGCGUUCUUGCAUGGUGAGCUCGAGGAAACAAUCUACAUGCGUCAACCAGAGGGUUUUACAGUUCCUGGUAAAGAAGACCAUGUCUGUCUAUUAAAGAAGUCUUUAUAUGGAUUGAAACAAUCCCCAAGGCAGUGGUACAAGCGGUUUGAUAGCUUCAUGAUUCAGCAUGGUUACACAAGAUGUGACUAUGAUGCUUGUGUCUAUCAUCGGAAGCUCUCAGAUGGUUCGCACAUUUAUUUGUUGCUGUAUGUUGAUGACAUGUUAAUUGCUUCCAAAAACAUGUCGGAAAUCAACAAGUUAAAGUCGCAGUUGAGUGGUGAGUUCGAGAUGAAGGAUCUGGGUGCUGCCAAGAAAAUUUUGGGCAUGGAUAUUCACAGAGAUCGCAAGGCGGGCAAGCUUCGUGUGUCGCAGAAGAACUACAUUGAAAAGGUUCUUCAACGCUUCGGCAUGGAUAAAGCGAAAACUGUGAGUACUCCGUUGGCACCACAUUUCAAACUCUCUGCAGAGUUGUCACCACAAUCUGAUGAAGAAAAGCAGCAAAUGUCUCACAUUCCAUACUCGAGUGCAGUUGGAAGCGUGAUGUAUGCAAUGGUUUGCACUCGUCCAGACAUUUCACAUGCAGUUAGUGUGGUCAGCAGAUACAUGAGUUGUCCUGGCAAGGAACACUGGCAGGCCGUGAAAUGGAUUCUCAGGUACUUGAGAGGUUCUGCAGAUUUAUGCUUGGUAUAUGAUCAGAGUGACUGCACUAGCAGUGUCACGGGCUAUGCGGACUCUGAUUAUGCUGGAGAUCUGGACAAAAGAAGAUCUCUGACGGGUUAUGUUUUCACUUAUUCUGGAGGAGCCAUUAGUUGGAAAGCUGUGUUACAGUCUACCGUAGCCUUAUCUACGACUGAGGCGGAAUAUAUGGCGUUAGCAGAAGCAGUGAAAGAAGCAUUGUGGAUGAAAGGUCUAGUAAGCAGUUUGGGUUUACAACAGGAUUUCACUGUUGUAUUUUGCGAUAGCCAGAGUGCCAUACAUCUGACUAAAAAUCAGAUGUUUCAUGAACGGACCAAACACAUUGAUGUCAGAUAUCAUUUUGUUCGGGAACAUGUUACGCAAGGUGACAUUGUUAUCAGCAAGGUUGCUACCGAGAAGAAUCCUGCAGAUAUGUUAACUAAGGUGAUCCCUGCAUAUAAGUUCAAGCAUUGCUUGGACUUGAUAGGUAUUCGGGAUUGAUUAGCGCCAGAGAGGCGUUUGGAAGAGGUGAUCCAGUUCACUAUGAUGUUCAGCUUGGUAAAUUUCAAGCCAAGGUGGAGAUUUGUUAAGAAAUGGCUUAAAAUUGGUAGUGGAUUGUUGUUGUUGGUAGUGGGUUGUUGGUGGUAGUGGAUUAGUGGAUGGUUGUUGGUGUCCAUUUUCAACCACAAAUCUUUGCCAAAGUUUUGGACAAUUAUGUCCUUGAACUCUCUUAUAAAUAGAGAGGUUCAUUAGCCAUAUUGAUCAUCCCAAAACCAAGAGAGAGCAAAGCUUGUUCUUUGAAAGCUAGGAUUUUAGCUUUCGGGUUUUCUAUAGGGGUUGAGAGUUGUGAGGUUCUCGGGUUGUGUCUUGAGUGUAAAACACUUGUAAUCUUCAUCUUGUUAUAGUGAAAUUUCUUUUCGCCUCUGCCCGUGGACGUAGGCAUU
rnacentral:lncRNA from 1 species